GAUGUAGUGUAUUGGCAGUGCGACUGCUUGCGACGCAGUAGGUUCCGGGUUCGAUUCCCGGUGGGUCA